rnacentral:rRNA from 1 species
UACAGAGGUGGCAAGCGUUGUUCGGAAUUACUGGGCGUAAAGGGCGAGUAGGCGGCCUUCUAAGUCAGACGUGAAAUCCCCCGGCUUAACCUGGGAACUGCGUCUGAUACUGGGAGGCUAGAGUAUGGGAGAGGAAGGUAGAAUUCCAGGUGUAGCGGUGAAAUGCGUAGAUAUCUGGAGGAAUACCGGUGGCGAAGGCGGCCUUCUGGACCAUAACUGACGCUGAUCCGCGAAAGCUAGGGGAGCAAACGGG